UCCCUGGUGGCUCAGAGGUUAAAGCAUCUCCCUGCAAUGCGGGAGACCCAGGUUCGAUCCCUGGGCCGGGAA
rfam:TPA: Bos taurus chromosome X, whole genome shotgun sequence.